rnacentral:rRNA from 1 species
AGAGUUUGAUCCUGGCUCAGGACGAACGCUGGCGGCGUGCCUAACACAUGCAAGUCGAACGGAGUAUGUUAUUUCGGUAAUGUAUUUAGUGGCGAACGGGUGAGUAACGCGUAAACAAUCUGCUAUAGACGGGGACAACAGAUCGAAAGAUCUGCUAAUACCGGAUAAGCCCAUUGGAGCGCAUGCUCUAGUGAGGAAAG